AUUGAACGCUGGCGGCAGGCCUAACACAUGCAAGUCGAACGAGUGGCGGACGGGUGAGUAAUGUCUGGGAAACUGCCCGAUGGAGGGGGAUAACUACUGGAAACGGUAGCUAAUACCGCAUACCAUCGGAUGUGCCCAGAUGGGAUUAGCUAGUAGGUGGGGGAAUGGCUCACCUAGGCGACGAUCCCUAGCUGGUCUGAGAGGAUGACCAGCCACAAUGGAACUGAGACCCGGUCCAGACUCCUCCGGGGGGCAGCAGGGGGGAAUAUUGCACAAUGGGCGCAAGCCGGAUGCAGCCAUGCCGCGUGUAGUAAUAAGGCCUGCGGGUUGUAAAGUACUUUCAGCGGGGAGGCUUUACCCGCAGAAGAAGCACCGGCUAACUCCGUGCCAGCAGCCGCGGUAAUUC
rnacentral:rRNA from 1 species